UACGUAGGGUGCAGGCGUGACUCGGAAUUACUGGGCGUAAAGCGUGCGCAGGCGGUUUUGUAAGUCAGAUGUUAAAUCCCCGGGCUUAACCUGGGAACUGCGUUUGAAACUACAAGGCUAGAGUGUGGCAGAGGGGGGUGGAAUUCCACGUGUAGCAGUGAAAUGCGUAGAGAUGUGGAGGAACACCGAUGGCGAAGGCAGCCCCCUGGGUUAACACUGACGCUCAGGCACGAAAGCGUGGGGAGCAAACAGG
rnacentral:rRNA from 1 species